UACGGGGGGGGGCAAGCGUUGUUCGGAAUUACUGGGCGUAAAGGGCGCGUAGGCGGCCUGCUAAGUCACACGUGAAAUCCCUCGGCUCAACCGGGGAACUGCGUGUGAUACUGGCGGGCUUGAAUUCGGGAGAGGGAUGUGGAAUUCCAGGUGUAGCGGUGAAAUGCGUAGAUAUCGGGAGGAACACCAGUGGCGAAGGCGACUACCUGGCCUGUUCUUGACGCUGAGGCGCGAAAGCUAAGGGGAGCAAACGGGG
rnacentral:rRNA from 1 species